rnacentral:rRNA from 1 species
UACGUAGGGUGCAAGCGUUGUCCGGAAUUAUUGGGCGUAAAGAGCUUGUAGGCGGUUUGUCGCGUCUGCUGUGAAAAUUUCGGGGCUCAACCCCGAACUUGCAGUGGGUACGGGCAGACUAGAGUGUGGUAGGGGAGACUGGAAUUCCUGGUGUAGCGGUGGAAUGCGCAGAUAUCAGGAGGAACACCGAUGGCGAAGGCAGAUCUCUGGGCCGUAACUGACGCUGAGGAGCGAAAGCAUGGGGAGCGAACAGG